rnacentral:misc_RNA from 1 species
AUUACAAUUUUUUUUUUCUUAAUUAGAAUAUGCUUGAAGUUCCAACUCAUAAUAACUUUACAAUCUUAAUAUAUAUAUAUUUUAUUAAUUGAGUUACAUGGUAGUUAUAUAUAUGUUUGUUGUUGGAAAAAAUUUACCUAUAUUUGGUUUAUCAUGAAUCUAAAACACAAACAUGUGAGUUUCACUUUUUUUUAUAUGUGUUUCAUUAUAUAUAUUGUAUUUUGGGUUCAUGACAAGUCAGGUUUAGGAAAGAAUUUCGUCUGUGUGUGGUAUAUCUAUUUAACAAUGCCAUUCUAUGCAGAUAAUUGAAAUUCUUGAAGGA